GACGAACCGUGCGAACGUUAUUCGGAAUCACUGGGCUUAAAGCGCGUGUAGGCGGGCCGCCGCGUCGGCUGCUGAAAGCCCCCGGCUCAACCGGGGAACGGGCACCGAGACGGGCGGCCUGGAGGGGAGUAGGGGGACCUGGAACUUCCGGUGGAGCGGUGAAAUGCGUUGAGAUCGGAAGGAACGCCCGUGGCGAAAGCGAGGUCCUGGGCUCCUGCUGACGCUGAGACGCGAAAGCCAGGGGAGCGAACGGGAUUAGAAACCCUUGUAGUCC
rnacentral:rRNA from 1 species